UGAAUGUUAUGUUUCUGAGCCUACCUACC
rnacentral:piRNA from 1 species